rnacentral:lncRNA from 1 species
UUUGCUCCAAGCACGGGGUUGGUCCAGACUACCGUCUCUAUCGCCUGUCAACCACAAGUCGUUCACAUUCCCGUACGUACAAAAGUAAGUUCUUAACGUUAACUAUAUUUACUUACUUUACCGAUUAUUAUUUCUAAAUAAUAUAUUUACUUUUUUGGGGCAGAUGGUCGGCUCGUGGUAUGAAUUUGAACAGAUUCCUAGACACUAUAUUACUCAGUAUCACAAUCUCUUGGAUCACCUUAGACCAUCAAAUGUAUUGCCAAUAAUCGAAUUAAUUCGUAAUAAUUUAUUUUUAAUAUCACCCAUUUUAUCAUCUAAUAUAUUUUUCCUCUUAAGCUCAUUUGGCGUCCAUAUCUAAACUUGGAUGAUGAACAUGAAAUCAACGAACAAGAUGCAUCUGGUUGGAUUGCAUGCACACCGACACGACGAUGUUUUAAGUGAUGAUGUGAUACCAACCAAAGAAAAACCAACUCAUAGUUAUAUGGCUUGGUACAUAUCAGUUGAAUUUGAGUUUCUCGUCGAGGAUAUGUACCUAUACGACCCACGCCAAGUCACUUACACACAAAAAGGUUGAACAUCUAAUCCCCACAAAAUUACCAGACUGGUUACUCACAACUCCAUACCCAACAAAAUUAUCAGCCAACAAACAGACAAACCUACGACCUUAACAUGUCAAACACCCAACCAUAAUACCAAAGGCAUACCCUGUACCACCACCACCAAGAUGAUUAUUAUCAAGACACUCAACAUCGAUAUGUCCCUAACACAUCAUCCUACCAUAGCCAAAACACUCAGCGAUCAUUUAACACCAACUGUCCCUUCUACUAUAGUCAAGAAGCCCAAACAUCACAAAACCAAAACAUAACAACUAGAUGGCUACCAAACAUCGCGAUAACCAUUUCAACUUUUCCCCAACAAAUCAUUCACACCAAUGUCGCCCUUUAAUCAUCUCAGGGGCACCCUAAUAACCCAAACACACCCCAACUACUCUGAAAAGGGUCACGAACUCAGCUAUGGCGAUAACGCUUCAUUGCAUUCACACGACUUCAUGGAAUUGACUGAACUUCUUAGGGAAUCUGCUGCAGGUGGUGGUCAUGUUCCUGGAUCCUCAAACACCUGUGGUGAAUCAACAACGCGGGCUAGAGCCACGCGUUAAGGUAGCUAGGGGAUAUGGAACCUGAGGUCGGUUGGGUCAUCCUGGUUAACGACAUCUGUGUUUUUGGUUUUCGUAUGUAAACGUAAACUAAUAUUAAUAUUUUCGAUUUCAACUUUUACAUAAAAUAUCAAUUAUUAUAAAAAAAACAUAACCCACACAGGUGUCAAGCCAAUUGGCGCCAGCACUAUAACCUUACACAUAGUCGCCAAUCAGAUUGACAACACUAGGUGCAAAAGUCAAUCCAAUUGGCGUCUCUUCUUAAAAUCCGAGUGAAGUCGUCAAUUGGUCUGUCACUAAUGCUUUGACGAGUUUUUUUUGAAAAUUCGAGUAGUUUGAGAAAUUAUCUGAAAUGAGUUAUUUUGGGAUUUUUUUUUAAACUGGAUUAUUUAAGUAAAAAAAUCUAAAAAUUAUUGUAUUUUAUUGCAAAAAAAAAUAGUAUCACCAUUAUUAAUUGCGUGUUUUAAAAUAUAUAUUAAAUUAUGAUUGAAUCAAACAAUCAUAUUAAAUAAUAAAUACAUGGUAAUUUCUUUAUUAUAAAAAAUAGUGAAUAAAAAUAAUUGUUUUAAUUGCGUGUUUUAAAAAAUGAUGUUAUGAUUUGAUUAAAAUUUGGUUUCUAUAGUUAUUAACAUCAUCAAAAAUAUUAAUAACAAUAAAAAAUUUUAAUUGGCAAAUCAAAUUAAAUAUUAAAAUUGGUAAUGAAAUAUUUGAAUACCAAUAUUUUUUAAACAAAAUUUUGAUGGAUAAAAAAUAAAGAUUUUUCUUAAAAUAACCACUAUUUUUAAAAUAAUACAUAAAUAAUCAACUUUUAAAAUUAAUUACCAAUAUAACCAAAUUUUCAAACAAAAAAAAAUUAUCCGCCUAAAACACUUGUCAUGCCGAAUUGCGCAUGCAUUUGCUAGUUGCACUAAGGCAUUAUGCAUAGCGGCUACUGCAUGCACCACAAACCAAUGCAAUUGGUGUAUGCUUUGUCGUGUUGCACUCUGGCGCAUGCAUGCAUCACUUGGUGCAUGCGUUACUCCAUGUGGCUACUGCUUUUUUUACACCUCUAUAAAUACAAUAUCUCCUACCAUUAUUUUUCACACUUCUUCUUACCAUCUCCUUCCAUUUUUCUUCAAAAUGUCUUCAUAUAUGUGUCUUUAUAUUCACAAGAGAAAUGAUGAUUUAAUUUAUUCGGCAGUAAAACCUCCGAUGAAGAUUCGACUAUGGAAUAUAGAGACGUUCAAACUUCUUAACAUGACCUUGAUCAGUUAGUUAAAUGGAGACAUUGCAGAGGAUGAAAAGAUCAGAAAAAUUCAAAGGCUUUAUACCACAUUUAACCAAAAUGGAGAAGUUCGUUUCUGGGUGAAUGUUAAAAUUGACAUAGAUGUUCACAGGAUGAUGUAUAGUUCCCACAAAAUUGUUUUGAUGAUUGUAAUCACAUAUUUAUGUUGUUUAGUUGUAUUUGUUUGUGUUGUUUUAUUAUUAUAGUUGUUUGUGUUGUUGUUUAGUUGUUGUUUAAAUUAUUGUUUAGUUGUUGUUUUCAAGUUAUUGUAACUGAAUGUUAUGAUAUUUAUGAAAUGAAAGUUGUUUUUAAUAUAAA